AAAACAUUUCUUUUUGGUUAUUUAAAAGGUAUACCCUGCCCUAUGGUUAAUUCUAAAUGGCUGCAGUAUACUGACUGUGCAAAGGUAGCAUAGUAAUUAGUCUCUUAAUUAGGGACUUGAAUGAAUGGGUGAAUGAGAUAUAAGUUUUAUUUAUAUUAUUAUUAAAAUUUAAAUUUUAAGUCAAAAUGCUUAAGUUUAUUCUUGGGACGAUAAGACCCUAUAGAACUUAAUAUUAUAUAAAAUAGAUUUUUUUAAUUUUUUUAAUUAAAUUUUAUAUUAUUUUUAGCUGGGGUGGCUGAUAAAUUUUAACUUUAUCUUUUUCAUUCAUUAAUUUAUGAUAAUUUUGUUCCUUAAUUUUUGGAUAUUAAGAUAAAGUUACCUUAGGGAUAACAGCGUAAUCUUAAUGGAGAGUUCACAUCUAUAUUAAGUUUUGCGACCUCGAUGUUGAAUUAAGAUAAUUUCAAGAAGUAGAAUUCUUGUUAAUAGGUCUGUUCGACCUUUAAAUUCUUACAUGAUUUGUU
rnacentral:rRNA from 1 species